AGCAAAUGCUUUCCCAUAUGGGGAAGCGCAGGGCUUUUGAGAGGAAGUUAAUUAUUUUAAAUAACUGUGUCUGCGCAAAGCCUGUGUGUUCCCAGGCAGGAAUGGCAAGGAGCCCUCUGUCGUUAAUGGUUUCCACAUGGACUCUCAGAGAGGCCGGCCAAGACUCCAGCACGGGCAGAAAUCUCCAAAUUUAGAAGAAAUAUGAAAAUUGUCAAACGUGCCUUCCUUAGGCUGAGACGGCGGGCCCGGCCCCCUAGCCUGAGCCCUCCUUCCCCAUCUCUUCUCAUCCUCACACACCAUGGGUCACAGCUCGGGGUCACAAGGGCUCUUACACCAGCCAAUCAGGCAGCUCGGGAGGCUUUCCCUGACGUGCCGCUCUGAUAGUAAGCCGGCCCCUUGCCUCAUAUAAGGUAAAAGAAAAGUCUUUGCUCCCCAAGCCGGCCAUGCUUCAAAAAGGAGCCACACUCCGGGAACCCCCUUCAGACGGUGGAGCGCACAGCGUCCAUGAGCAGGGACCACCUCUCUGCAUCUCUACCCAUCCCGACACCAAACACCCAUCCACCCUCCCACCCAACCAAAUCGGCCAGGACCAGUGUAGACGAUCCUUCUUCUUCAAAACACAGACUGUGAGUCUGCAGCGGGGAAACACAACAUGGACAGUUGACACAACAUGCUUCAGGUUUAAUAGCUGCAGGUCAGACCGGCUGGCUCGGGGACAAACUGAGGAAUUCAUCUGAAUUAAUCCUCCCAUGUACUCAACAGGACGUAGGAGGUCGUGGUCCAUGUUGAUCAAAGAUGGUAAGAUGGAAAACACAAAAGGAGUACUGCAUGAUUCAUUUGCCCUACAGUCCUCAGACCCACGGUGCAGUGCUGCAUCUCUGGUCAACUGGGAGUCUGAGAUGAAGCACUGUAGCUCGGGAGGAAGGGCAAUACACUGAACACAAGAUACCUUGGUUUUAAAUGACAAAUUUGAAAUUGCUAUUGAAUAAAAUACUCAUUUAUGAUUAGCAGUAGCCUAACCAUUGUUUAACAUUAGCUUUACUUGGUAGACCAGGUGUUGGUAAUUCUAGGAUUAAAUGUGCUUCUAUUGUUGCCAGUCUUCCGUCAAUGCAUUCCAUCAUUUCCCCAUCCCCGGGGUCCAGUUUUCCCAGGAAUCCCUUGGGCAAUCAUAAGGGGGAUUCCUGGAAAUACUGUUCUUGGGGGUGGGGCUGGACAACUGAAUUUAUCAAAUAACAUUUUAUAAUAUGAUCACUGGUUAUAGUCCAUUUUAACAUUUUAAUUUUAACAUUAUGUAUUAUGUUAUUUUUUUUAACAUUAUGUAUUGCCAUAUGCCAUAUGUUAUAAUGAAGAUGAAGAUAGUUAUAUUUUAAAGAUGAAGAUAUUAUAUAUUAUAUUUUAAAUAAUUUACAGAUUUAAAUAUAAUAGUUUUAAAUUUAUAAUGUAACGACAAUAAAUGCGUGAACUGAUGUUGACCUCCUUCAGUGUUUCAUUAAAACUACUGUUUAUUCAUCUGAAAGUGUUGUUAUUGUGUUUUCAUCCAAAAGACUUUUUAAUAUAUCCAUAUUUAAACAAUUGUUUAUAGUGCUUUGCAAGAUACUUACAUUUAUCAAAUGACAUGAAAAAACAGCGCUACCUAUUAGUGAAAAUGUACAGAACAUCAAACACAAUGUCCACAGGGGGGCGCAGUUCACAUGGUAAAGCGUUUCAAACGGAAACCGCAGCCCACACGUGGUGGCUCAGAUUACAGGAAUUUUACUAAAGUGUGACUGGAACUAUAAACGUUUUUAUUUUUUUUAUUUAUUUUUUUUUGGUACAAUUCAGUUAUCACUAUGUAUGGUAACCCCUCUAUUUGUGUAAAUGUGAACAAGAAAGAAAAUGUGAACAGGUAGCCUAAUCAAAGAGACCAUUCAUUAAAUAAUGUAUUUUGAUAUUGUUUUAUAAUACUGCUGUACACACAGAUUUGAGUGAGCGCCUGCAUACAGAUGCUCAGGCACCUAUGUGCAGUGAGUCAUUCAGGAUUAAGUGGGCGGUAGAUGCUCAUACAUUUAUGUGAGAUUUCUUAUACUGUUAACAAAUGCACAACACUGUUUGGGAGAAAAUUUGGCCCUCUGACAAUUAUAUACAUUUAAAAAAUAGUAAACAAGAAACUGUAAAGCAAUUGCAAUUCAAAACUACUCUCACUCUUAUCAUCUUAUUCUUAUCAAGGUCUCCUGAGAGACAUCAGUUGCAUAAAUGUUUAUAUGGUUUGCUUACAUGCGAGGAGGGGGAAGGGAAAGGCACCGUGUCACGUUCAGCCCAACAGCUGCCUGGUGGAAUCCAGCUCUGAUUCUGAGCCUCUGAAUCCACAAAUUUUGUAAUUGUGUAUAUAAUUACAACACAUGUAUUGUUUUAUAUAUGUGUUAUUUGCGGUUUGGUUUGCAAUAUGUCUAUUUGCAACUGUAAAAAUGACCUGUAAACAUGCUGCUUCAGGUCUUUUGUUUGCGGAUUGCGGUUCAGCAAUAAAAGUCUGAGUCAUGAUUCUCAGUUCACACAACAUGAAAAUCUCAAUAGACUAGUACACGUGUCUAAAGGCAUUAGAGGAAUAAUAAAAAUGCUGUUUUAGAAAUGGUUAUUGUGAUCAGCAAGUACAGAUCAGUACAUCUAAGUUUAGCUGAGUGCAGUAACAUGUUUAGACUUGAGUUAGAUGGAAUGUCUGAAUUUAAUCAAAAUCAAACAUUUAAUCAGGUUAUGGACAGAUUUUGAAGGUGGAGUUUGGUUACUUUUAUAUGACUUGUUGUUGUAUAAAACACACUGAAAUGUGAUUAAAUAAAGUUGACUAAAUGCUAGUACAAACUCUGACCUACAUGUUAUACAAAUCUCUCCAUUCUGGCUCAGACUUGCACAUAUGACGCAGAGAAAGAGAUCUACAGGGUGGAGGGACUUGCAUGGCUGGUAAUGCCGUGGCAAUGUGACGCACACAACUGAUUAAUCUGAUCAGAGCACACCUGGCAUGCCAAGGUGUGUUCUUCCUCUUCCCUCCAUUUUUCUCAUUCAAAUGCCAACGUUUCCAAGGCCAAACGUCUUUAGCCAUCUGCUUAACCAAGACCACACACUGCCAUUCCAUUUGGAGUGAGAAUUCCAGUGAUUUGCCACACUGUCCGCCAUGUGCUGGGUAAGACAAGCAGUAUUGAGUGCUCUGUGUGUGUAUUUAGUAACACAUCACAAAAAAAAAACAAAAAAAACACUUAGGUUAAGAGGCAAUUAAUCAGCAACCAAGGGCAAACUAAUGUAUAUUCUGAGAAUGUUUUUCAAACAUUAUAUUAUAGUUGUUUAAUUUAAAAUGUUUUUAAAAUGUGAAAAAAACUUGGAACAUUGUUUUAAUGUAAGCAUAAUGUCUUUCAACUUAAUUUUAAC
ensembl:lncRNA